AUUGAACGCUGGCGGCAGGCCUAACACAUGCAAGUCGAGCGAGUGGCGGACGGGUGAGUAAUGUAUGGGAAUCUGCCCGAUGGAGGGGGAUAACUACUGGAAACGGUAGCUAAUACCGCAUACCAUCGGAUGUGCCCAGAUGGGAUUAGCUAGUAGGUGGGGUAAAGGCUCACCUAGGCGACGAUCCCUAGCUGGUCUGAGAGGAUGACCAGCCACACUGGAACUGAGACACGGUCCAGACGCCUACGGGAGGCAGCAGUGGGGAAUAUUGCACAAUGGGCGCAAGCCUGAUGCAGCCAUGCCGCGUGUAUGAAGAAGGCCUUCGGGUUGUAAAGUACUUUCAGCGGGGAGGCGUUACCCGCAGAAGAAGCACCGGCUAACUCCGUGCCAGCCGCCGCGGUAAUUC
rnacentral:rRNA from 1 species